rnacentral:rRNA from 1 species
AUGGCGGACUGGGCGCCGGUGUUCAUCGGGCUGGUGCUCUUCAUCCUCCUCUCGCCGGGGCUGCUCUUCCAGAUCCCCGGCAAGGGCAGGAUGGUGGAGUUCGGCAACUUCCAGACAAGCGGCAUCUCCAUCCUCGUCCACGCCGUCAUCUACUUCGCCCUCAUCGCCAUCCUCAUCCUCGCCGUCAACGUCCACGUCUUCCUCGGCUGA